rnacentral:rRNA from 1 species
AUUGAACGCUGGCGGCAGGCCUAACACAUGCAAGUCGAGCGAGCGGCGGACGGGUGAGUAAUGUAUGGGGACUGCCCGAUAGAGGGGGAUACCUACUGGAAACGGUGGCUAAUACCGCAUACUAUCGGCUACCCCAUAUGGGAUUAGCUAGUAGGUGGGGUAAAGGCUCACCUAGGCGACGAUCUCUAGCUGGUCUGAGUGGUUGAUGGUCAAGAAUGGGACUGAGAGACUGCCUGUACUCCUACGGAGGCAGCAGUGGGGAAAAUUGUACAAGGGGCGCAAGCCGGAUGUAGCCAUUCCGCUUGUAUGAAGAAGGCCUUAGGGUUGUAAAGUAUUUUCAGAGGGGAGGCGGUACCCGCAGAAGAAGCACCGACGAACUCCGUGCCAGCAGCCGCGGUAAUAC